rnacentral:ncRNA from 1 species
CCGGGUCAUACAGGAGAGAGCGGCCCCGCGGCCGCCGCCGAAGGCGCAAGUGCACCCGCAAUCGCUCAGGCAAAAGGACUGUAUCACGGGG